GAGCAAUUCGCUUGAGGAUGAGUCCACGCGAGAUUAGCUAGUUGGUGAGGUAACGGCUCACCAAGGCAGUGAUCUCUAACUGGUCUGAGAGGAUGAUCAGUCACACUGGAACUGAGACACGGUCCAGACUCCUACGGGAGGCAGCAGUAGGGAAUAUUGCGCAAUGGGGGAAACCCUGACGCAGCGACGCCGCGUGAGUGAUGAAGGCCUUCGGGUCGUAAAGCUCUGUCGUAUGGGAAAAAGAUCUG
rnacentral:rRNA from 1 species